UCUCUCUCACAUGUUUUCUACCUCUUCUUCCACUAUUCUCUCUUGAUAUUUCUCUUUCACACGUAUCUCUCUUCAUUCACUAUUCUCUACGCCAAUUACAACUUCAAAAAUCAAAAUAAUCCCCAAUAUUGAAACCGUUUGCAUCUAUUCUCCACCAUCGGUAAUUCCUCUAAUUUCACUAUUCUCUAAUUCCACCAUCGGUUGAGUCCUCUACCGUCAUUCACCAUUCACUCAUCAAAUUCUGAUGGAGACUCAUCCGCCAUACCAUUAGCCAUCAAUGGAUUCAGGGGAGAGAAUAAGAGAAUUGGUAAAUGGGUGAAUAUCGGAGUCAGGUCGUUGCGAAAUUGCUGUUGAGGAUGAGUUGGUAUUGUAAUGCCGAUUGACAACGACAAUUAAUCACCGAAUAUUGAGAAGUGAAAGGGAGAAGAGUCAAGGAUUUUGAAGAAUUUGAGAUAAUGUUUAUGUUAUUUUGCAAACUUUGAGAGAAUAGUUAUGUGGUUCACUAUGAUUGAGAGAAAAAGAAAGAGAUGAGAGAGAUGUGAGAUCUUGAGAAAGAUCUGAAAUAUUGUUAUUUGUUCAGUUUAUCGGUAGCCUUACCUGCUGCUUCUCUUACUGUAAUUUUUUUUUUUUUCUGUUUCUAUUGUAUUUUUUUUUUUUUGAAUUUUUUGAUUAAAAAUUGAGUCACUAUUUUUCUUUCUUUGCAGAGGAAAAAAAAAAUCGCAUCCAUGAUUGAUUUGUGUCUUCUUGCUUCUUGCUGAACGGUGGAAAACCAGCUUCGAGUUAUCAAUCUUGUGUCAAACUUGCUGGGGAGCCCUCUUGGGCCUCAUCUCCAAGAGGUGGAUCAGAAGGAUUAAGAAGGUUGAAAGCUUCUAUGGCAAACAAGGAAUAGGUGGCUGAUUUAGAGAAACCCAAGGGUGAUCCAUCUUCAUUUAUAAAACCAGCAACAACUGUUUUCUCACCUUACUUAAAGUUAAAAGUAGGUUAUGCAUAG